rnacentral:rRNA from 1 species
AUUGAACGCUGGCGGCAGGCCUAACACAUGCAAGUAGAACGAGUGGCGGACGGGUGAGUAAUGUCUGGGAAACUGCCAGAUGGAGGGGGAUAACUACUGGAAAAGGUAGCUAAUACCGCAUACAAUCAGAUGUGCCCAGAUGGGAUUAGCUAGUUGGUGGGGUAACGGCGCACAAAGGCGACGAUCAAUAGCUGGUCUGCGAGGAGGACCCGCCACCCUGGAACUGAGACACGGUCCAGACUCCUACGGGAGGCAGCAGUGGGGAAUAUUGCACAAUGGUCGCAAGCCUGAUGCAGCCAUGCCGCGUUUAUGAAGGAGGCCUUCGGGUUGUAAAGGACUUUCAGCGGGGAGGCUUUACCCGCAGAAGAAGCACCGGCUAACUCCGUGCCAGCAGCCGCGCUAAUAC